AUAAUCAGACAGGAUUUGAACGUAACCGAGUAUCUACUGCAGGAGAUGCCCCUUCAUUGCUGUGUUGCAGCUUUGGAGUUGCGAUGUUUAAAAAUCGUUGCAUUUUAUCUAUGACUCCAGGUUGCAUUGCCUCCUGUAUGGGAGCCAGGGUUGGGUCAGGUAAGAGGACUUGGAAGACAUAGUUAAUUCAGAAUUUCAGGCUGGGAUCUGCAAAUGGGAGCUCAGCUAAUUGCUCUGCAACACUCUGUGCUUAGCAUGCAGGAGGUCCAAAAAAGCAAAUUAGCUAACAGGGCCUCGGGUGCUGCUUUUAUUCAUCCAUUCUCGUCCGCUCAUUCGUCUGCAUGUUUAAUGAUGGUUCGGUGAGCCUGUACUGUGUCAGGUACCGAGGGAUACAGUGCACAGCCGGCUUCUGCCUCUGACUAGUUUACUCGCCGGCCAUAAGAGGAGAACACUAGAGAUGGAGAGUCAGAUAGCGCGGGUGUAUGGCAGCACAAGAACAUGGAAGAAGGCAUCUGGCCAAGACUGGGGUUUCAGGAAAGACUCCAGGAGGAAGUAACGUCGAAGCUGAGGCAUACAGAGUGAAAGUAGGGGGAGGGAAUUCGAGAAGGAAGAUGGCAGGUGCAGAGUCCCCGGAGUAAAGUGCUGCAUUUGGUACAGAACCACAAGUGUUUCCUAGAUACAUCCAGAUCCCAGGGUUGGAGGGAUUCUCAGAGUGAGGCCAGGCCAGCGAAGAGAGGUCAUGUCUUAAUUGGCUAACUACACUAAAGGGACUGCCAUAUAGACAUACUACGGGCAAUGCAAAGUUGUUAAUGAGUUUUAUCCUGGCAGGAAAAAAAAAACUAACUUGUUGGUUAGGAAGGAAAUCACUUGUUUGGAUUAUAGGGAGUAAAUGAAUAUUAGGACCAGAGAGACCACCGGAAUGGUCUUCUAGAAAGUAUAUGCACUAUAACCUAAACUAAGGUACGGCAGAAGAAAUGGAGAGAAAUGUGUAUAUUUUUAAAAUUCCUUUUAGAGGAACUGGAGAGAUGGUUAAGAGCACUCACUGCUCUUGCAGAGAACCAGGCUUGGUCCCCAGCACCCACAUCUGGUGGCCCAACUAUAAUGGCAUCCUUACAGAGCUGAUGGUUAAUUUACAGGGGGGAAAAGCAGUCUUUUCAAUAUAUGCUAAAAAGAUACUUGUAGCAGUCAAAACUCAUUAAAAAACCCAAAGUAUUAGAAACAUGGUCAAUGUCUCUGCAUUGCGAUACUCUCAUUAAAAUAAAAAUAACACAGGACACCAAGUAAGAAGUUUUUGUCUGGGGCUGGGGAUUUAGCUCAGUGGUAGAGCGCUUACCUAGGAAGCGCAAGGCCCUGGGUUCGGUCCCCAGCUCCGGAAAAAAAAAAAAGAAGUUUUUGUCUGACCUUGUUCUAGAAACAUAGAUGACAGGGAACAGACUGAAGCCGGAAACAAGAAAAGAUGAGGUACACUGAUUACGAGAUGCAAAUAAUCUGAUUAUUUUCCUGUAAAUGCCUGGAGAGAUGGGAACAGUGGCACAUUUGGGAGGCAGAUGCAAGAGAGGCAGAAGUUCAAAGCUGCCUUUGACUACACAGCAAGUUCAAGGCAGCCCCAAACUACAUGAGACCCUGUCUUAAAGACAGUCAGAGAAUGUGCCAAGUAUUAAUUAGCACGUCUCCAAAGUAUCAACUGGAGGGGUUAAGAAGAGCAGGUUAACUCAUCGCUUUGGGGAGGGAGCCUGAGGGCAAGGAGAGGGCGCAGCAGGUGGUUGUCCUUUGUUCAUGCUUGUGUGCUUUAUUUUUCCCCUGUGGUAGAUAUGCGUAGAUUCAGAACUGCCUGAGAGCUUGGUGAUGAGCUGGCUCAGCUGAUGAAGUGCUUGCCAUGCAGGAGUGAGGACCUGAGGUUGGAAAUCUAGCACUCAUAUAAAAAGCCAGGCACAAUGGCCUGUGAGCCCAACCCUGGAACGCAGAGGCGGAAGGGUCCCUGCUGGUCAGCCAGCUGAGUCUGUGGGCUCCAGAUUCAGGGAGAGACUGCCUCAAACAACAAGGUCGAAAGUGAGUGGGGAAGAUGCCUCUGUUGACCUCUGGCCUCCACACACAUACGUAAGCACGCUCUCACAUGUACAACAAGCAGACAUACACCAUACCACACACACACACACACACACACACACACACACACACACACACAACAUAUUAUGACCAAAGUUUUAAAUUUACAAAUAAAAACACAUAUUUUAUGGAAAAGUAGAAAGUCUAUCUGGAAGAAAAAAAUGGUAUAAUGGAAAAAGUCAAUAAUUUUCUUAUUUAUAAAGCCAAGAGCUGUUCUCAAUAUCUGGGGUAGACUUGAAUAGAAAUGUUCAGGAUUCAUGUAGAAAUACUUUGAAACCCUACUGUAGAAUAUAAUAGAAAUUAAAUUAACAUGGCACUGUUUCUUCUUUUCAUGCAGAGACUCAGUAUAGUAAACAUUAAAAAUGUAAGCUGUCUUACUCUAACUACCAGAAUUCAUUUUGGAGCGCGGUAGGACUUUAACAAGCAUAUCUGGAAAAAGGAAAAGCAAAUGCUUGAGCACAGCACCUAACAAGCAAGAAUUUGAGAUGGGCUAGGGUGCUUGCCUCUCUGAGAAUAAUGCAAAGUAUGGAACUGUAAUAAAGCCGGUUACUGCUGGGAGCAGAACAAGACUCUGGAGUCCUGCAAAUGCACAGCUGCCUUGUGAUGGCAGCAGUGGGAUUUCAGACCAGUAAGGAAAAAGAGAUGGUCCAGGUAUGGUGUGACAGCUGACAGACAGGUGAGAAUGUGAUGGUCCAGGUGUGGUAUGGGCAGCUGACAGACACAGGUGAGGAUGCGAUGGUCAAAGUGUGGUGUGGACAACUGACAGACAGGUGAGGAUGUAUUGGUCCAGGUGUGGUGUGGACAGCUGACAGACACAGGUGAGGAUGUGAUGGUCCAGGUGUGGCGUGGACAACUGACAGACACAGGUGAGGAUGCGAUGGUCUAGGUACAGUGUAGACAGCUGACAGUCACAGGUAAGGAUGCGAUGGUCUGGGUGUUGUAUGGACAGCUGACAGACAGGUGAGGAUGCGAUGGGCCAGGUGUGGUGAGGACACUGACAGACAGGCGAGGAUAUGAUGGUCCUAGUGUGAUGUGGACAGCUGACAGACACAGGUGAGGAUGCGAUGGUCCAGGUGUAGUGUGGACAGCUGACAGACAGGUGAGGAUGCAAUGGGCCAGGUGUGGUGUGGACAGCUGACAGACAGGCGAGGAUAUGAUAGUCCAGUUGUGGUAUGGACAGCUGACAGAUACAGGUGAGGAUGCGAUGGGCCAGGUACAGUGUGGAGAGCUGACAGACAGGUGAGGAUAUAUUGGUCCAGGUGUGGUGUGGACAGCUGACAGUCACAGGUGAGGAUGCGAUGGGCCAGGUACAGUGUGGACAGCUGACAGACAGGUGAGGAUGUAUUGGUCCAGGUGUGGUGUGGACAGCUGACAGUCACAGGUGAGGAUAUAUUGGUCCAGGUGUGGUGUGGACAGCUGACAGACAGGUGAGGAUGUAUUGGUCCAGGUGUGGUGUGGACACUGACAGACAGGUGAGGAUAUGAUGGUCCAAGUGUGGUGUGGACAGCUGACAGACACAGGUGAGGAUGUGAUGACCCAGUUGUGGUGUGGACAGCUGACAGACACAGGUGAGGAUGGGAGGUAGUAUGUUUGAAUGUGUGUCCUUGUGUAGAUAGAUUGCAUAUCCCCAUACUGAAGUAAAUCCAAGAUCAAGAAUUGAACAUGAAUAGAACUCUUAGAAGUCACAAGCAAUCUUUUGCAAAGAAUCUUAGAAAGUCUUUUUAACUAUACCUUAACAUCUAAAAUCUGAAAGAUAAUCAGUCCGACUAGAACCUACAAUACAGCUAAAAGCUAUAAAUAAAAUCAACAUAGCUAAAACAAACAAAGAAGUCAGCUUUUGUACACGUAAAGCCAGUGCACAUCAAUUAAAAAAGAAGUCCAGUAGAAAAAUAUUCAGUGUAUUCAUGCCAAAUAAGGUAUUUUCAACCAUUUAGGUUGGUGAAAGCUACACGGUUCGAUAGAUAACCAGCUGGUAUUGGUGAGAGUGUGAUAAACAACCAGGUUGGUAGGUCGUGUGUAAAUUAGUUCAGAAGUCAACCUGGUAGUAUUUCCUACAUUACUUAGGUAUGUGGCAGGGGGCAAGGUGCAUAUAUAUGGAGGUCAGAGGAUACCUUGCAGGAAGAGUCACUUUGAGUCCGAGGGAUCAAACUUGGACAUCAGACUUGAUAUCAAGAGCCUUACCUGCUGAGCCGUCACUCUGGCCCAAGUUGUAA